AUUCCAGCUCCAAUAGCGUAUACUAAAGUUGUUGCAGUUAAAAAGCUCGUAGUUGAAUUUCUGGUCUUGGACGGCGGUCUACCACAAUUGUGGUACGUACCAACUGUCCGAGUCCAUCCUCGGGGAAAACAUGCCUGUGAUUCAGUUCAUGGGUAUGGGAUCCUCGUCAUUUACUGUGAGCAAAAUAGAGUGUUCAAAGCAGGCUUAUGCCGUUGAAUACAUUAGCAUGGAAUAAUAAGAUAGGACCUUGGUCUAUUUUGUUGGUUUGUACUCCAAGGUAAUGAUUAAUAGGGAUAGUUGGGGGUAUUCGUAUUCAAUUGUCAGAGGUGAAAUUCUUGGAUUUAUGGAAGACGAACUACUGCGAAAGCAUUUACCAAGGAUGUUUUCAUUA
rnacentral:rRNA from 1 species